AUACGGAGGGUGCGAGCGUUAAUCGGAAUUACUGGGCGUAAAGGGUGCGUAGGCGGCUUGAUAAGUCGGAUGUGAAAGCCCCGGGCUUAACCUGGGAAUUGCAUUCGAUACUGUCAGGCUAGAGUAUGUCAGAGGUUGGCGGAAUUCCUGGUGUAGCGGUGAAAUGCGUAGAUAUCAGGAGGAACACCAGUGGCGAAGGCGGCUAACUGGGGCAAUACUGACGCUGAGGCACGAAAGCGUGGGGAGCAAACAGGAUUAGAUACCCGAGUAGUCC
rnacentral:rRNA from 1 species